rnacentral:rRNA from 1 species
CCCUUAGAUGUUCUGGGCCGCACGCGCGCUACACUGACGAUGGCAACGAGUUUUUCCUUCGCCGAAAGGUGUGGGUAAUCUUUUGAAACAUCGUCGUGCUGGGGAUAGAUCAUUGCAAUUUUUGAUCUUGAACGAGGAAUUCCUAGUAAGCGCGAGUCAUCAGCUCGCGUUGAUUACGUCCCUGCCCUUUGUACACACCGCCCGUCGCUCCUACCGAUUGAGUGAUUCGGUGAAUAAUUCGGACUGCGGCAUUGACCGGUUCCCGAUCGUUGCUGCGGAAAGUUUAGUGAACCUUAUCACUUAGAGGAAGGAGAAGUCGUAACA